rnacentral:rRNA from 1 species
GACGAACGCUGGCGGCGUGCCUAAUACAUGCAAGUAGAACGCUGAAGGAGGAGCUUGCUUCUCUGGAUGAGUUGCGAACGGGUGAGUAGCGCGUAGGUAACCUGCCUGGUAGCGGGGGAUAACUAUUGGAAACGAUAGCUAAUACCGCAUAAUAGUAGAUGUUGCAUGACAUUUGCUUAAAAGGUGCAAUUGCAUCACUACCAGAUGGACCUGCGUUGUAUUAGCUAGUUGGUGAGGUAACGGCUCACCAAGGCGACGAUACAUAGCCGACCUGAGAGGGUGAUCGGCCACACUGGGACUGAGACACGGCCCAGACUCCUACGGGAGGCAGCAGUAGGGAAUCUUCGGCAAUGGACGGAAGUCUGACCGAGCAACGCCGCGUGAGUGAAGAAGGGUUUCGGAUCGUAAAGCUCUGUUGUAAGAGAAGAACGAGUGUGAGAGUGGAAAGUUCACACUGUGACGGUAUCUUACCAGAAAGGGACGGCUAACUACGUG